GACGAACGCUGGCGGCGUGCCUAAUACAUGCAAGUCGAACGCUGAAGAGAGGAGCUUGCUCUUCUUGGAUGAGCUGCGAACGGGUGAGUAACGCGUAGGUAACCUGCCUUGUAGCGGGGGAUAACUAUUGGAAACGAUAGCUAAUACCGCAUAACAAUGGAUGACACAUGUCAUUUAUUUGAAAGGGGCAAUUGCUCCACUACAAGAUGGACCUGCGUUGUAUUAGCUAGUAGGUGAGGUAAUGGCUCACCUAGGCGACGAUACAUAGCCGACCUGAGAGGGUGAUCGGCCACACUGGGACUGAGACACGGCCCAGACUCCUACGGGAGGCAGCAGUAGGGAAUCUUCGGCAAUGGGGGCAACCCUGACCGAGCAACGCCGCGUGAGUGAAGAAGGUUUUCGGAUCGUAAAGCUCUGCUGUAAGUCAAGAACGGGUGUGAGAGUGGAAAGUUCACACUGUGACGGUAGCUUACCAGAAAGGGACGGCUAACUACGUG
rnacentral:rRNA from 1 species